GCUCUGGUAGCGCAGUGGUUAAGCACUUGGCUGCUAACUAAAAGGUUGGCGGUUCGAACCCACCCAACGGCU
rnacentral:tRNA from 1 species